GGCGGACGGGUGAGUAACGCGUGGGAAUCUACCCAGUAGUGGGGGACAACUACCGGAAACGGUAGCUAAUACCGCAUACGCCCUAUGGGGGAAAGGCUUCGGCCGCUAUUGGAUGAGCCCGCGUCAGAUUAGCUAGUUGGUAGGGUAAAGGCCUACCAAGGCAACGAUCUGUAGCUGGUCUGAGAGGACGAACAGCCACACUGGGACUGAGACACGGCCCAGACUCCUACGGGAGGCAGCAGUGGGGAAUACUGGACAAUGGGCGAAAGCCUGAUCCAGCAAUGCCGCGUGUGUGAAGAAGGCCUGCGGGUUGUAAAGCACUUUCAGUUGGGAAGAUGAUGACGUUACCAACAGAAGAAGCACCGGCUAAAUCCGUGCCAGCAGCCGCGGUAAUACGGAUGGUGCGAGCGUUAAUCGGAAUUACUGGGCGUAAAGCGCGC
rnacentral:rRNA from 1 species